rnacentral:tRNA from 1 species
GCGGACGUGGUGAAAUGGCAGACACGCAAGGUUUAGGACCUUGUGCCGCAAGGCGUGGGGGUUCGACUCCCUUCGUCCGCA